GGAGAUUGCUGCCUUUGGAGUUUCCUACUGUGAGCCUAGGACACAGAUCUUCAUCUGCUAUUCUUGUGAUGCUGGUAGAAGAAACUUUGUAGGCAAGAAGCCAAAACGCCCUGGAGUCUCACAUAUGAAGACAGUAUCACCUUUGUGGGGGCCUGAGGAUGAACAGUCUCAUUAUUUUGCCAAGAUAUACACAAUACUGCUGAAAAGUAUAUAAUAACUUAGGAAACUAUUAACACAAAGUUUAUGGCAGUCAUAGACUCAGACAUUUCUAGGUCAGUGUAAGAUUUCUGCUGUCAAGAGUUCCCAAGCCUCUAGAUGAUGCUGUAAAGAAAGAUUCACUCACUGUACUUGAACAGAGAGUGAGAGAGUACUUUAGCCUAUUUCUUUGCUUGCUUGGUUCCUUAUCUGUUUUCUGAAAGCUGCUGGAAAGCAACAGAGAUUUAGCUGCCAGGUCUGAACUGCAGGGGUGGAAUUGGCAGUAGUAAAAGCAAAAAGAUUCAGCAAAUAAAAGAUAAUAUAGAUC
ensembl:lncRNA